AUUGAACGCUGGCGGCAUGCUUUACACAUGCAAGUCGGACGGCAGCACAGAGAAGCUUGCUUCUUGGGUGGCGAGUGGCGAACGGGUGAGUAAUAUAUCUGAACGUACCGAGUAAUGGGGGAUAACUAAUCGAAAGAUUAGCUAAUACCGCAUAUUCUCUGAGGAGGAAAGCAGGGGACCUUCGGGCCUUGCGUUCUUCUAGCUGCCGAUAUCUGAUUAGCUAGUUGGUGGGGUAAAGGCCUACCAAGGCGACGAUCAGUAGCGGGUCUGAGAGGAUGAUCCGCCACACUGGGACUGAGACACGGCCCAGACUCCUACGGGAGGCAGCAGUGGGGAAUUUUGGACAAUGGGCGCAAGCCUGAUCCAGCCAUGCCGCGUGUCUGAAGAAGGCCUUCGGGUUGUAAAGGACUUUUGUCAGGGAAGAAAAGGCUGUGGCUAAUACCGACAGCUGAUGACGGUACCUGAAGAAUAAGCACCGGCUAACUACGUG
rnacentral:rRNA from 1 species